GUUCUUCUGCGUAAUUGACGCUCAUUGAGGGGAAACUGGCCAUGCUUGUGGCUCGGCUAUGGCGGGGAAGGAGGGGACGGGUGCUGC